AAGAGAAAAGGUGGGAGGAACUUUCAGACUGCUCACAGAAGGAAUAUGCUGAAAGGCCAACAUGAGAAAGAAGCAGCAGAUCGAAAACGCAAGCAAGAGGAACAAAUGGAAACUGAGCACAUUAAUCCAGUUACUGAAAAGAGAAUACAAGUGGAGCAAACAAGAGAUGAAGAUCUUGAUACAGACUCAUUGGACUGAAUUUCCCCCUUCCCCCCAUUGAUGGAAGAAUGUUCCAGAUUCUAAAUUGAGGACUUCAUUAUUAAUGGCAUUACUGUGUUAUGAUUAACAAAUUUCCUGUAAGGUACA
rnacentral:lncRNA from 1 species